UACGUAGGGUGCAAGCGUUGUCCGGAAUUAUUGGGCGUAAAGAGCUUGUAGGCGGUUUGUCGCGUCUGCUGUGAAAAUCCGGGGCUCAACCCCGGACUUGCAGUGGGUACGGGCAGACUAGAGUGUGGUAGGGGAGACUGGAAUUCCUGGUGUAGCGGUGAAAUGCGCAGAUAUCAGGAGGAACACCGAUGGCGAAGGCAAGUCUCUGGGCCACUACUGACGCUGAGAAGCGAAAGCAUGGGGAGCGAACAGG
rnacentral:rRNA from 1 species